CUCUCCUCCACUCCCCAUCGCGCCCCUCUCCUCCAAUCCCCGCAGCCAAAGACGAGAUCUCGCCCUUCGCCGAGCUUGCCACCAUCGCUGCUCUCCCCUCGCCAUCGCCGGGAGGAGUAUGCAGGCCGCCGCUCGUGUCGUUUCUCCGCAGCCGCCACCGCCCCCUUCCCUUCCAAGCCCGCGGAGAUGACGGCGCCAGCGCUGGCGCUCGCGGUGGUCGGGUACUGGGCUGCCCGACAGCCACGGGGCUAGGACGCUCUACGUCGCCAGGGACCUCAACCUGUCGACGGCGGGGACUGAGUCGCCGCCGCAUCAUCUUCUCCUUCUCCCCAACACCGCAUGAGUGCGGGUCGCCGUCGCACCAGAUGAGAUGGGGCUGCAACCACGCCCCCUUCACCUCUUCUACCCAGCCGUGCCACUCGGGACGACAAGAUACAGCCGCGGCGGCCGAGAUCCAGUUGGUUGCCAUCGAUAUGAGGAACGCUCGUGCCGCUGCUCCGCCGUUCGUCGUCCACUUGGCCGCAACCAUCCACAAGAAGAGGUGAUGUCACGACAGCAGGGUCCUCACCUGUCUCCGCUCCCUCGUCUCCCCCUUCUGCUGGCAAGGGUGCUGAGCAGCAACAAUUCCAUCUCCCUCCCCAACACAUCCUUGCCUCAUCUUGAUCUGCAAUGAACCAGAGCCCAGAGAGAGAUUUGAUAUGAUGAUUGAGGUAGAAAGCAUGGAUUGUUUGGGGCUCCUCUCAAAUAAGCUUCUUAAUUAAGAGAUGAAUACAGUCGGAGCCUGGGAUUUUUAUACACAGAGAUGGUGCAUAAAUAAGCAAAACAAAAAAUGUGCCAAUGCUUUGCCAGAAUUUCGUUGGUCCUCUCAAGAUUGUGGCCAAACCAAGAUUGAAUUUAGAGAUGUUUCAUAUGCUUGGCCGUUGACACACCUCUCUUCAAGGCAAGGUAAUUUCCAAGGAAAACAACAUGAAUGAGAUUAAUAGAUUUAAUGAAGAGAUAUGCCAGGAUUAGGCGGAGAUGAUGAAAGGCUUUGUAAAAGUCAGAUCUCUGUGAUUUAUAUAUGUGCUCACGAGGACAUUCCCAUUGCAUCUGAAUUGACAAGUUGAAGAAUCUGGUCUUUUUGUGCUUGCCUACAAAACUGUCAUAUCUUAUAUUUGUUGGUCAAAUAAAAACGAAUGAUGGUUGAUUGUCUCGACUAUGAAUGAGCAUUUCUGGAUUGUAGAACAAAGAGUGUCCCGGGCAAAAGGACCAAGUUUUGGCGGGUGGGUGUCGGGAGUCUAGUUGGUUGGCUUCAGCCUUUGAGGUGCUGCAGGCUAGCGGUGCCGCCUCUGAGUGUCUCCUCGUCUCACUCCCUUGGCACCUUCGGCCGGUUCAAGUGAAGUGCCACCUGUGAAGUUGAUUGACAAGGUAGUUGAAUGAAGCCACUUAUUAGCACCUUGCUUGCUCUUCUUUCUUUUUGGAGCCAAAAGAUCCAUCGGCGCUCCACUACUGGGCUUUGAUUUGAAGAGACUGCUGGGAAAGGCUAUCUCGGUCAUCUUCCGUCUGAUACAUAGGUCAAACCAGGACUCACACACUCUCUCGCCGAUAUUUCCCUUCGCUCCCGUGAAUACAUCA